rnacentral:lncRNA from 1 species
GAGGCACCUGAGUCUUGUAAGACUGAACAGAGGCGGAUUUAGGGGGGGGGGCAGGGUGCCCCCUUUUUCAGAAAAUAUUUGGUUGGUUAUAUAGGGAAUCACUUAAGCGUGACGGAAUCGCCCCCCCCCUUUUAGGCAGACAGUGGGCCCCCUCUUAUGAAAAUUUCUAGAUUCGCCACCGCUGAACGUCAAAUUAAAAAGUUAAAACAUGUUGAAAGUAAAAUAAAAACACAGGUUGCAAGGUGAAAGGUAUAGAUAACGGACCUACCAUUUGCUUUUUAAGGGGGGGGUGGUAGGAUGAAAAAUUUUGUCCUGCAUUCUAUUAGUUGUUAUGUAUUUUUCACUCUGCCUUUUUUGUAUUAAAAUUGAGAAUGGAAAUGGGGAAUGUGUAAAAAAGACAGCAACCCUACCAGAAGAGUGUACUAGUGAACUGUCUAGUUCAUUAGUUUAUCCUGCCCUUUUUUACAUACAUAUAAAUAGAUCUUAAUAGUCAUCCUGCCUUUUUUUGGCAAAGUGUCUCAUCCCCUAUUUUAAUCAUUUUUGUUAAUUCUCCAAACUCCUGUCCUGGCCUUUUUCAAAUUUCAUCCUGAUUUUUUCAUAUUAUAGUCUACAUGUAGUUGCAUAAUGUUAAUUAUUACUAAAACCUCAGUCUAUAUCAAAAACUUCAUAUUGUAUGAGGGUCUGGAUGGGGGGGGGUCUGUUAUUCUGUAAACAUUUAAUUUUCA